UACGGGGGGGGUAAGCGUUGUUCGGAAUUAUUGGGCGUAAAGCGCGUGUAGGCGGCUCGGUAAGUCUGCUGUGAAAGUCCAAGGCUCAACCUUCAGAGGUCGACCGAAACCAUCUGGCUAGAGUCCGGGAGAGGAGAGUGGAAUUCCUGGUGUAGCGGUGAAAUGCGCAGAUAUCAGGAAGAACACCCGUGGCGAAAGCGGCUCUCUGGAACGGUACUGACGCUGAGACGCGAAAAGCGUGGGGGAGCGAACAGGG
rnacentral:rRNA from 1 species